rnacentral:rRNA from 1 species
UACUAGAGUAGCACUCGCAUAUCAAUAAGCGGAGGAAAAGAAACUAACAAGGAUUCCCCUAGUAACGGCGAGUGAAGCGGGAAGAGCUCAAAUUUGAAAUCUUAAAGGGUUUCCCUUUACGAAUUGUAGUUUAAAGAAGUGUUUUCUGUUGAGGUUUUGGUAAAAGUUCUUUGGAAUAGGACAUCAUAGAGGGUGAGAAUCCCGUAUUUGACCCUUACUUUCAACUUUGUGAUACACUUUCAAAGAGUCGGAUUGUUUGGGAAUGCAGUCCAAAAUGGGUGGUAAAUUUCAUCUAAAGCUAAAUAUUGGCGAGAGACCGAUAGCGAACAAGUACCGUGAGGGAAAGAUGAAAAGAACUUUGAAAAGAGAGUUAAACAGUACGUGAAAUUGUCAAAAGGGAAGCGUUCGACACCAGUGUUGUUUUUCUGAAAAUCAAUUAAAGAACUGUUUAUGCUAAGCUGUUUAGACUUUAUCAGCUAUCUGCUUAGUUUUGAGCUUUUCUUUAAUGCACUUUUCAGUUAACAAGUCAACAUCAAUUUCUUUUGCUGUAAAAAAGCUUGAGGAAGGUGGCUUGAGAUUCGUCUUAAGUGUUUAUAGCCUCUUGCCUAUGCAGUCGGAGAGAUUGAGGUCUGCAGCGUAGAUCCUUCGGGGCUAAAUGCAUUUGUGCUAAGUUAUAGCAUUUUAUAGACAACUUGUUGACUAUGAUUUGUCUUGUAGCUUACUCGCUUAUGUUAUUUUACCUACGCUUAGGAUGUUGAACUCUAUCACACACAG